rnacentral:tRNA from 4 species
UGGGUUAUCGCCAAGCGGUAAGGCACAGGAUUCUGACUCCUGCAUCCGAAGGUUCGAAUCCUUCUAGCCCAG